rnacentral:rRNA from 1 species
CUAAAAAUGGUGCAGAAUAAGGGGUGGGCAAGUCUGGUGUCAGCCGCCGCGGUAAUACCAGCACCCCGAGUGGUCGGGACGAUUAUUGGGCCUAAAGCAUCCGUAGCUUGUUCUGCAAGUCUUCCGUUAAAUCCACCUGCUCAACAGAUGGGCUGCGGAGGAUACUACAGGGCUAGGAGGCGGGAGAGGCAAGCGGUACUCAGUGGGUAGGGGUAAAAUCCUCUGAUCCACUGAAGACCACCAGUGGCGAAGGCGGCCUGCCAGAACGCGCUCGACGGUGAGGGAUGAAAGCUGGGGGAGCAAACCGGAUUAGAUACCCGGGUAGUCCCAGCUGUAAACGAUGCAGACUCGGUGAUGGGUUGGCUUUGCGCCAACCCAGUGCCGCAGGGAAGCCGUUAAGUCUGCCGCCUGGGGAGUACGGUCGCAAGACUGAAACUUAAAGG